AUGGAUUGGUGCCUUCGGGAACUGUGAGACAGGUGCUGCAUGGCUGUCGUCAGCUCGUGUUGUGAAAUGUUGGGUUAAGUCCCGCAACGAGCGCAACCCUUAUCCUUUGUUGCCAGCGGUCCGGCCGGGAACUCAAAGGAGACUGCCAGUGAUAAACUGGAGGAAGGUGGGGAUGACGUCAAGUCAUCAUGGCCCUUACGACCAGGGCUACACACGUGCUACAAUGGCGCAUACAAAGAGAAGCGACCUCGCGAGAGCAAGCGGACCUCAUAAAGUGCGUCGUAGUCCGGAUUGGAGUCUGCAACUCGACUCCAUGAAGUCGGAAUCGCUAGUAAUCGUGGAUCAGAAUGCCACGGUGAAUACGUUCCCGGGCCUUGUACACACCGCCCGUCACACCAUGGGAGUGGGUUGCAAAAGAAGUAGGUAGCUUAACCUUCGGGAGGGCGCUUACCACUUUGUGAUUCACGACUGGGGUGAAGUCGUAACAAGGUAACCGUAGGGGAACCUGCGGCUGGAUCACCUC
rnacentral:rRNA from 1 species